rnacentral:lncRNA from 1 species
GUCCUGUCUUCAGAAAGUUAAAAAGGACACAGAGAGAGGUCUAUUGAAUCAUACAUAGAAAUUAAGGCAGAUUUUUCAUAUAGAGAUAAUUUAGUAGGUGGGAUUUUCCGUUUAGCCCAUGGCAUACUUCUGAGUCCAGCUCCGUGCAGUGGACUCGUACUUGUUCUUGUCAGUCUUGUACAUGUGAGCUAUCUCAGGCACCAAAGGAUCAUCCGGGUUUGGAUCGGUUAACAAAGAACAGAUCGAUAGCAGCACCUGUUCAUUGCAAAGCAGUUCUUAGAACAGCUCGGAAACAAACAACCAAUUUUCAUCCUCAAUGAGUCUAAGCUUAAUGCUUCAGAGAUAACUAAAAUCCUCAGAGUUAUACCUUCUAAUGGGAAAAGAUGAGCAAAAGAGGAGAAGAUAACCGAAAUGAGUCAAAGUUUAAUGAAGACAGCUCAAUGUUAUCACUUCAACCAGGAAUUAAGGAGCAAAAGCAAGUGUGAUAGAUUAUUGCUUCUGAAGCUGUUUUAAUAGAGAGUAUCUGCAUAUUGUUUGUUAUGGUGGGUUUCUAACGUUUACAGAAAAGAAG